GCUUGCUUCGGCAGCACAUAUACAUAUUGGAAAGAUACAGAGAAAAUUAGCAUGACCCCUGCGCAAGGAUGACAUGCAAAUUCAUAAAGUGUUCCAUAUUUUU